GGGUACCUGACGUUACCAUGGAUAACUGUGGUAAAUCUAGAGCUAAUACAUGCAAAUCCGGGUAGCAAUACUCGGAGCAUUUAUUGGACAUAGCCAACAGGGGGGCGGAAACGCAACCUUGAAGGUGAAUCUAGAUAACUGUGCAUAUCGUAUGGUCUUGUACCGGCGAUAGUUCGAUCGAAUUUCUGCCCUAUCAACUAGUUGGUUGGGUAGUGGCCAACCAAGGUUGUGACGGGUAACGGGGAAUCAGGGUUCGAUUCCGGAGAGGGAGCCUGAGAAACGGCUACCACAUCUAAGGAAGGCAGCAGGCGCGCAAAUUACCCAAUCCAGACAUUGGGAGGUAGUGACGAGAAAUACCAAAGUGUGCCUAUGGUUCACUAUUGGAAUGAACGUAACAUAGUACCUUCGAUGAGUACCUACUGGAGGGCAAGUCUGGUGCCAGCAGCCGCGGUAAUUCCAGCUCCAGUAGUGUAUAUCAAAAUUGUUGCGGUUAAAACGCUCGUAGUUGGAUUACAAAAGUUUGGCGCUAGUCAAGCAAUAGCUUGAAUAGUGUCGGGCUUUUUUAUCGCAAGAACCACUCGUGCAUUUAAACGUGUGCGGGUGACCACUUGCGGAGCGUGCCUUGAAUAAAGCACAGUGCUCAAAGCAAGCGUAACGCUCGAAUGUUUAAGCAUGGAACGAAUAACUCUGACUACAGGUUCAGUUGUUGGUUAUCUGAACCGGGUCCUGAUUAAAAGGGACAUUUGAGGGCGUUAGUACUUGGCGGCGAGAGGUGAAAUUCUUAGACCCGCCAAAGACUCACUAAUGCGAAAGCAUUCGCCAAGAAUGUUUUCAUUGAUCAAGAACGAAAGUUAGAGGCUCGAAGACGAUCAGAUACCGUCGUAGUUCUACACAGUAAACUAUGCCACCACGGAAUCAGUCCGGAGCUGAUCCAGGUUGGUUCCUCUAGGAAACUGCGAGAUUUCGGGUUCCGGGGGAGUACGGUCGCAAGGCUGAAACUUAAAGGAAUUGACGGAAGGCACCACCAGAGUGAGCCUGCGGCUUAAUUUGACUCAACACGGGGCAACUCCCAGUCCAGACAUUGAAAGGAUCGACAGACUGAUAGAUCUUCGAGAUCAUGAUGGUGUGCAUGGACGGUCUAGUGGUGGGAGCGAUCUGUCAGUCUAUCCGUUACGAGCGRACACGAAUCUUAUGAUUACGGCACUUGAUGACUGCCUAGAGGAACACCCGGAUAUAAUCG
rnacentral:rRNA from 1 species